UGUCUUUGGUUUGAAUGGGACGAAUUGGAGUGCAUUGAUAAAAAGUACAAUGUGUUGCACCACCUCAAGUAAAUGUUUCUUAAUGGUUUUUCAACACUGUUUUUGUUGUUUUUAGACGCCUAGAGGACUGCAAUGAUGUCGUAAGCCACUUUAUUGAGUGGAUAUAUGUUGACUUUUACAAAAGGAUCACCGCUGUGAAAUUGGGAGGAGGUACUAUCUUUUCUCCAAUUUUUGUAAGCAUAGCUAUGCUAUAUUUCUAUUUCUAUGUGUGGGUGUGUGUUUGUAUAAUUAUAGAUAAUUAU